CACGUAGGGGGCGAGCGUUGUCCGGAUUCAUUGGGCGUAAAGGGCGCGCAGGCGGCCCGGAAAGUCGGAUGUGAAAACUCGAGGCUCAACCUCGAGCGUGCACCCGAUACUGCCGGGCUUGAGGCAGGUAGGGGAGAUCGGAAUUCCUGGUGUAGCGGUGAAAUGCGCAGAUAUCAGGAGGAACACCGGUGGCGAAGGCGGAUCUCUGGGCCUGUCCUGACGCUGAGGCGCGAAAGCGUGGGGAGCAAACGGG
rnacentral:rRNA from 1 species